UCCAGACUCCUACGGGAGGCAGCAGUGGGGGAUAUUGCACAAUGGGGGAAACCCUGAUGCAGCGACGCCGCGUGGGUGAAGAAGUAUUUCGGUAUGUAAAGCCCUAUCAGCAGGGAAGAAAGAAGACGGUACCUGACUAAGAAGCCCCGGCUAACUACGUGCCAGCAGCCGCGGUAAUACGUAGGGGGCGAGCGUUAUCCGGAUUCACUGGGUGUAAAGGGAGCGUAGACGGCCGUGCAAGCCAGGAGUGAAAGCCCGGGGCCCAACCCCGGGACUGCUCUUGGAACUGUGCGGCUGGAGUGCGGGAGGGGCAGGCGGAAUUCCUGGUGUAGCGGUGAAAUGCGUAGAUAUCAGGAGGGACACCGGCGGCGAAGGCGGCCUGCUGGACCGCGACUGACGUUGAGGCUCGAAAGCGUGGGGAGCGAACAGGAUUAGAUACCCGGGUAA
rnacentral:rRNA from 1 species